AAAGGGAGACCUAAUUCAGGUAGGAGACGAAAAAAAAGUAGUCGCUACCAAGAAUCAAUCCCAAAAGGUCGGAGCGAGGCGAAAUUGGCUUUCAAACUAGGUUCUGGGUUCAAACAAGACCUGAAUCAGGAACAAGGGCUAUUAGCUCAGGUGGUUAGAGCGCACCCCUGAUAAGGGUGAGGUCCCUGGUUCGAGUCCAGGAUGGCCCACCUGCACAGGUGGCAAAAACAAGAGAAGCGAGGAAUCAGCACCUUAUCUUACUUAUAUAGCAAGAGAGAAUGCUGGCUCUGAGUAAAGAGUCCAGAGGAACCUUGAAAACUGCAUAGAGCUAGGUGAAAAAGCCAAAAAAGAAGACCGCAAG
rnacentral:tRNA from 1 species